AGUGAACGCUGGCGGCGUGCCUAAUACAUGCAAGUCGAACGAAGUGGCGCACGGGUGGGUAAUAUAUAGUUAAUCUGCCCUACACAAAGGAACAACAGUUGGAAACGACUGCUACUACCUCAUAUUGUAGGAUGAGACUAUAACGUAGCAGCUAGUUGGUAAGGUAAUGGAUUACCAAGGCUAUGACGCGUAACUGGUCUGAGAGGAUGAUCACUAAAAUUGGAACGGAGACACGGUCGAAACAUCUACGGGAGGGAGCAGUAAGGAAUAUUGCGCAAUGGGGGUGUCCCUGACGCAGCAUCGCGGCGUGGAGGAUGACACUUUUCGGAGCGUAAACUCCUUUUAUCAGGAAAGCGGUACCUGAUGAAUAAGCACCGGCUAACUCCGUGCCAGCAGCCGCGGUAAUUC
rnacentral:rRNA from 1 species